rnacentral:rRNA from 1 species
AGAGUUUGAUCCUGGCUCAGGAUGAACGUGGCGGCAUGCCUAACACAUGCAAAGUCGAACGCAGGCUUCGGCCUGAGUGGCGAACGGGUGCGUAACACGUGGGUGACCUACCUGAAAGAGGGGGAUAACCGCCGGAAACGGUGGCUUAAUACCGCAUGAUCUAGCGAGCUUUUGAAACUCGUUAGCAAAACUCUGGUGCUUCCAGCGGGGCCCGCGGCCUAUCAGGUAGUUGGUGUGGUAACGGCGCACCAAGCCGAUGACGGGUAGCUGACCUGAGAGGGUGGUCAGCCACAGGGGAACUGAGACACGGUCCCCACUCCUACGGGAGGCAGCAGUGAGGAAUAUUGGGCAAUGGGCGCAAGCCUGACCCAGCAAUGCCGCGUGAAGGAUGACGCCCCUCGGGGUGUAAACUUCUUUUAGGUGGGAGGAGCAAGGACCGUACCACCUGAAUCAGUCACGGCUAACUACGUGCCAGCAGCCGCGGUAAUACGUAGGUGGCGAACGUUAUCCGGAAUUACUGGGCGUAAAGGGUCCGCAGGCGGGUCGCCAAGUCCGGCGUGAAAGCUCCCGGCUCAACUGGGAGAGGGCGUUGGAAACUGGUGGUCUUGAAUCUCAGAGAGGUCGGUGGAAUUCCCGGUGUAGUGGUGGAAUGCGUAGAGAUCGGGAGGAACCUCGAAAGCGAAGGCAACCGGCUGGCUGAAGAUUGACGCUGAGGGACGAAAGCGUGGGGAGCGAACAGGAUUAGAUACCCUGGUAGUCCACGCCCUAAACGAUGUGUGCUCGGUGUCUGCUCGUAAAGGGUGGGCGCCUCAGCUAACGCGCAAGCACACCGCCUGGGGAGUACGGCCGCAAGGCUAAAACUCAAAGGAAUUGACGG